GCGGCGAUUUUUCACAGGCCAUCGGUUGGGUCCAUUUGGAAGCACGCGGCACGGGUGUCUCCACCCUGCAGGAAUCGGGUUUUGACGGGGAAACCUGUCCGACCUCGUGGCACCGGCCGGCAUUCCCCGGCUCGAGUCGCCUCGCCUCUCCUCUCCUCGACUCACCUCUCCUCACGACUCACAGCCGACUUCUCCUCCGUCGCCGCCCCUCCGCCGUCGCCUCGCGCCUUCUCUUGCCAUCUUUGUCUCCGUCCCGGCCACCGUCCCGGCCGAACUGUCUUAUCCCCACCUCCACAUCGGCUUCGUCCCCUCGCUGGAGAGACGUGACCGCCGAAGCUGCUGAAAGGUACCGGCUCCAAAAUCCACUCUAGUUCUUCUCGGAUUUGUCUUCCCUCCGAACAAAGGAAGGCAGUCUCAAUCUGGUAUGCACCCGCUCGAUUGGUCCCCCUUCUCGAUCUGUUGUAUAGUCGAUCUAGGGUUUCGGUAGAUUAUUUGAUUCUUAGGUUUACUUGUUCUGGUGCUGGUAGAUCUAGUUUGACUCCCAUAGUUGAUUUGAAUUGGUGAGAUUCUUACUGAUACACUAGAUUUCGAUGGAAGAUACAUUUUAAUUGUUGUAUGCUUUGCUUCUGCCGUUUGGAGCAACUUAUCAUCUCCCAUGUUCUAUAAUGCUGCUAGUUUUUUUUCUGCACAAUUGCACAUGGAAGCAUUAGCCAUAGGUCAAUAAUUUUCUGCCAGGUGAAGUCUGCUGUGCCAGGUUCCAACAUCAAAGAUACAGUGAUAUGCAAGAUAAUUGAAGCGAUAUAAUUUAAUCUAUUUUUAGGAGGAAAGCCAUUGAUUGAUUAAGAUGAUUUGCUUUGUGUUAUAUAAUAACUUUGGUUGCACCCACAUUAUCCAUCAGGUGCGUAUCAGAUGAGAGCAAGACGACGAUAGCAGAUUGGUUGCAUGUGCAGUUCCCUUUCUUUGUUUGAUAAAUAAUAGUCAUACUGUUGAACCAAGGGACAUGACUUCACUCUUUUUUAAAUUGAUUUUGAUCUGAUGCAUGCUUAGUUUAGAUUACUUUAGAAGGUUCAGCAAGCUUUAGCAUGCUAGGAAUAAUUCAGUGAUAGUUGAAGUUUCAAUCAUGAUUGUUUAUGUAUCUAAUAAUAUAACUUAGUCAUAUCUAAGGAAAUCUUGCCACAAAAACUGUAGCUUGGCUGCACGAAUCUCUCUGCAGCUUAUUAUUUGCAGUUUAUUUUUAGAGAGUAAGAACGUUUUGCUGAAAAUAGAGUGCAGUCAUUGAUACCUCAUAUCUGCUACAAGCCUUUAAGUUUAAGAGAAACAUGGUAUUCACUAUACUGAUUUUUUUUUCUUUCUGAUUGUAUUGGUAGGAAGGUCCGCCCCACGCCUGGCUCCACGUCCUGCUCCAGUGAGGAACCGACCAUAGCCAGGUACUUAACUACAUGCUUGAAUACUAGUUUGCAUCCAUUUUGUUUCAUAGCAGAUAUUGCCUGUUAAUGAGAUGGAUCAUGUUUUCCACGGCAAACUGGGCAUGGCUUGUUGAUAGUUGCUAUUGUUUGUUUCGAGUCCCACUUAUAUGUCACCCAUGUGCUAAGUAAUUACUACUGUUUUGUUAGGGUCCUUAUUUGGUCAGUGGAACGAUGCUAACUGAAUGCGUGCAAGAGUGAAAUUUAGUUGUCUGAAUCUUAGCAACUUGACUGAUCGAUUGGAUUGCAUACAUGCUGUUGCAACUAGUAGACGCCAGACAUGAGCCAUCUGCUCUUAGCUAUCUGCUUCAUGGAGGAGGAAGGAAGAUGUUGGUUUUCAGAAUUCACUCAAUUAUUGUUAAUUUUGUGUUGAAUAAACAGAGCUUUUCCUAUAUGAUAAAUGAUUAAAAUAUGGAAACUUGUAUAGCUUCCUGCUGUUUGUGUUGAAUGAUUUCCGGUGUGGCAAAUACUCUGCAUUUGUUCUAAAAAAUGUGGGAAUGAAAAGUUGCAGAAAAUUAGCAAAGAACCAAAGGAGCUCGGCAAAUACUCUGCAUUUGUUCUAAAAAAUGUGGGAAUGAAAAGUUGCAGAAAAUUAGAAAAAGUUUCAGAGAUUUGCAUUCAAGUGUUUGAAUUCAGAGAGUUUCAGUUUCGGUUACUAUGUAUGGCUUCUUAACUUUAAAUAGAUGCCAUUGAAUUUUAGCCAAGCCAUAACUAAUAUACUCUACUAGUUCUACAAGCCUUUAAGUUUAAGAGAAACAUGGUAUUCACUAUACUGAAUUUGUUUCUGCUGUGUUAGGUUCCUUCUUUAAUUUUUGAGAUCAGUGUUAGUUACCCAGUGGUAGAUCUUACACCUGCUUUUAUGUCAGUCUUUUGCAUCUGUAGCUUGCUGCUCGAUUUGGUCAUUAGUUCCCAGAUAAGAAAACAAAAACAUUUCUUCUAGGCAAUGCAUGCUAGCAGCCUGCUCCCUUGUAAUACUACUACUGAAUAUUGGUACUUUUAGUAGAGACUCAUAUUUUGAUCCUAGUUAUGGUUUGAGUUCAUUUCUUCUAGUUAUGGUUUGAGUUCCGAGCUACCUUUGAUCCUUUUGUCUUGCUAGUCUACUGAGCUACCUUUGAUCCUUUUGUCUUGCUAGUCUACUAUACAUGUUUUGUGAUGGUCAUAAUUAAGCUUAUAUGUUUUUUUGUUUGAUAUUUGCAGAUGGCUCGGUGGAAGCAAUGCUUUAAUUUAGAUGAAUAAAGUCUGGACACUUUUGUAGCGUUUGUUGGACAUUUCGGCUUUUAUGUUGCCACACAAAGACCUCAAAUGGACUCUACUGAGUAUUUCUAGCAUCUAUAGUUGUGCAUAGACUUGAUUUCAUAUUCUAAAAUGGCUAUGUAUUUGUAUGGAGAAAGACUUAUUCCUUGCAAAGGGUUUGGUGGAAGCAACAUGAUUUCAGACAAGUGAAGUGUGGUCACUUCUAGUAGUGAAGAGACUCAUAUUUUGUUCUUUUUUUACUGUUUAGAAUCUGUGGAUGGAGACAAAUUUGUGAUGUAUGUAUUAGGUUGUUUAGAUAUUGUUAUUACUUAUUAGAUGGCACCUGAAUCAAACUUUUGCAUGAAUAUGACUCUUAUUUCUGAUGCAGAUCUUCUCACAUAUUACUUUGUUAUAUUACGUGCAUCUUCAGUUUUUUUUCUUAAAUUUUACAAUUUUUCUCAAAA
rnacentral:lncRNA from 1 species